GAGGGCGAGUGGUUCCCAAGAUUUAUUUGUUGUCCUCAUGAUAUGGAGGCGGCCAUACUUGAAAAUACGAAACUGUGGCUCUUUAGGUAUAAUGUAAGAAAUCCAAUUCAAUAAAUGAUUUAACUUAUAUUAAUUUAAAAAAAUUAAUUUCAGUGAAAAAGCAUUCAGAUAUUGUUUGUUAUUUUUUGUUUAACAACAAUCUUGGAAAUUCGAAACUAUUUCUUAAUAAGCUCUGCAUGACACUUUUUAAAAGGCGCAAACUUUGAAACGCGCGAGACGUUGGAAAUUGAAUCGGUAGAGUGGGAGGAUUAUUAGCGUAGAUCUAGUCAUUCUUUGUCAACCUUUGAAGAAAAUAACAGAAUAAUGAAGAAGGAAUAUCCAGAGGAUCAAUUUACUUAAUAACUGCAGAUAUUAAUGGGAAAAGAGAAGCAGUUCACAGAUAAUGUUGAUGAGUUGAGAUCAGAAGAUUAAAAAAAACUCUGGCUGCCAAAAAAAAAAAAUCCAGGAUCUUGAAGAAAAACAAAAGAAAGGAAUGAAAAUAUGAAUCGUAAUCGAUCAAAGUAUCCAAGUGAUGAAAUUCUGAAAAUUCCACAGGGAAAGCCAAUAA